CUGUGCCCAGCACCGUGGCCCUGCUGCCCCCCACAGCCACUGAGAGUGAGCAAGGGCUGCCCUGGGGCAGGGAGGGCCGCAAGGGCUCCUGGGUCUUGAGCCUCCCCAAUCACAUCCCAUUUUUCCCAGGCCUGGCUCCAUCCAACACAUUCGUGGCUCCCCAGCCAGUUGUGGUCGCCAGCCCGGCCAAGCUGCAAGCUGCAGCUACCCCGACCGAAGUGGCCAAUGGCAUCGAGUCCCUGGGUGUGGUGAGUCGGUGUUGGGGUCCCAGGGCGCAGUGCCGGCUCCGGGUCCUGAGGGCCAAGGGCCUGAUCUCCCUGUUUCCGGUUUCCAGAAGCCAGACUUGCCGCCUCCACCCAGCAAGGCCCCUGUGAAGAAAGAGAACCAGUGGUUUGAUGUGGGGGUCAUUAAAGGCACCAAUGUAAUGGUGACACACUAUUUCCUGCCACCAGAUGACGCUGUCCCCUUGGAUGAAGGUUUGGGCGCCGUCCCUGAUUACAGCCAGCUGAAGAAGCAGGAGCUGCAGCCAGGCACAGCCUAUAAGUUCCGAGUUGCCGGCAUCAACGCCUGCGGCCGGGGGCCCUUCAGUGAGAUCUCCGCUUUUAAGACAUGUCUGCCGGGUUUCCCGGGGGCCCCUUGUGCCAUUAAAAUCAGCAAAGUGAGUCUUGCCAUGGGGUGGGCCCAUGCCCGUGCAGGUGGGGGGCCCAGGAGGCUCCCAGGGCAGAGGCAGUCGCCUGGCGGGUGGUAUCCAGGGCACAGGGAGGGCCUCCGCCCAGCCUCAGUCUCCUCUGCAGCAUGCUGGCUGUUGCCCUGUGCCGUUCAGUGUGCUCUGCCCUUGGCCCAGAGACAUCCCCGGGGGUCAGGGUUCCUUGUGAGCUCCGUGCUUGAGUGCAGAAGCGCGGGACAGGUCCCAUCUGGGCGGAGGGGCAUGGGGUGGGGGGCGGCCUUGAGGCUUCACUCAGGGCAGGUCACCAUGAGCCGGGACAGGCNNNNNNNNNNNNNNNNNNNNNNNNNNNNNNNNNNNNNNNNNNNNNNNNNNNNNNNNNNNNNNNNNNNNNNNNNNNNNNNNNNNNNNNNNNNNNNNNNNNNNNNNNNNNNNNNNNNNNNNNNNNNNNNNNNNNNGGCCAUCCAGAGCUCGCAGGCAGGCGGCGAGGCCAAGAGCUCCGCGCCAGCGCAGCUGGCCUUCAUGCGUGUGUACUGCGGGCCCAGCCCCUCGUGCCUCGUGCAGUCCUCCAGCCUCUCCAAUGCCCACAUUGACUACACCACCAAGCCCGCCAUCAUCUUUCGCAUCGCCGCACGCAACGAGAAGGGCUACGGCCCUGCCACGCAAGUCAGGUGGCUGCAAGAGACCAGUAAAGACAGCUCGGGCAGCAAGCCAGCCAGCAAGCGGCCCAUGUCCUCUCCGGAAAUGAAAUCUGCUCCAAAGAAGUCGAAGGCGGAUGGUCAGUGAGAAGCAGCUGGCUGAACCGAGACCCUCCUGGACCCUCUGGCCCGCCUGGCACGCGCACUCCCGCCACUGCUGCCCGCUGCCCCUCCUUGCCCCUGUUUCCGCUCCAAUGUGAAGAAAGCACACGGCUGGCCGCUGCUGUCGCUGUUGCGGAGCAGAGAGCCUGUGAGAGUCGUGUUCCCCCUUCCUCUGCCCUCCUGGCCCAGGGGCUGGGAUUCAGGGGCCUGUGGAGGAGAGGCCACCACUGCACCCACCACUCAGAGGCUGCGCACGCACGUGUCCUGGUUCCUCGCUCUCAUUUGUCACCUGGUGUUUGCAGCCACCCCUCCCUCAGGCUUAGCCACCCUCCACAAACUGCAGAAAGCACCUCUUUCUCAGGCCUUCUGCCUGCCAUCUCCCCCUCCCUCCCGCUUUAUAGAAGGAAGGAAGAAGGCCAAGGAGGGGCGAGAGGGGCCCUAGGGCCGGAGCAGUGCCUGUUGCCCUCCGGCCUGCGGGCGCAGAGUGGCCCUACUAGCCUGGUUCCGCCCUGCCCGGCUUGGCACGGGCCACGUCACCAACUGCUGCAUUUGUUGUAUUUUUUUAAGUUGAAAUUGAUGAAGCUAACAUUUUUAUUGUAAUUUUAGCCUUAGCGUGUGGGGCUUUGUCCCUUUUUUGUUGUUAGCCGUGUACAGAAUGUAUCUUUUUUCUUUCUUCCCCUUUUUUUUAAAACUUCUUUUCUCCUUGGCUAACCCUUGGCAGGGAUGUUUGGGGAGGAAAAGCGGGGCAGCUGGGGCUGGAGAGGUGCGGAAGGGGCCUCCUUUGCUCCCUCUUGGGGCUUGGCCACCCAGCCCAGGCUCCUCUGCUCCGCCUGUCCCCAGGCCUCUGGGGACAGCCGAGCAGAACUGUGACACCACCCUCCCAGGGUGAGCACUUCCCGUGGAGAGGGACUGGAGGGCCCAGGCAAGUGGCCCUGCAGCUCGGCUCGGCUCACAGUGCCGUCCUGGCUGAGCCCCACUCCCCAGAGGGCUCACUACAGCCUCCCUGGGGCCUGUGGGAUUUCUCUGCCACCCUGGCUGGAGGCCUCAAGCAAGGUUCGCCAGUGACAGUCUCUGGCCCCUCCAUCUCUGUGUGGAGGUUUGGGGAUGGAGGGUGCCCCGCCCUGGCCCACACCUGCAGGGCCUCUGGUUCGUUGUAUUAUAGUAUAUUUCGCUGUGGAAAUGUCAUGUUUAGUCGCCUUGGAGCCCACCACCCGGUCCCAUUGUUUUGCUCGUCCCCUCUCCUGAGCGCCCUUUGAUUUCUCUUGUUUCUGAGAACAGUACCACCUGUUCAUCUAUUGUAGAGUAACCUGUGACUCAAUAUUACCAUAGUGCGAUGUCGUUUUGUGCUAUUUUGAACAAUUAAAGACCUUUUUUGAAAAAACCAUCUGGUGUCUCACUGUGUUGGGUGUCCUGUGGCCUCUGGAGGGAAAGUUGUGACCUGGGUCACAGAUGAGGCUUUCUGCCACCCACUCCCCUUCUGUAGGUCACU
rnacentral:lncRNA from 1 species